CCUACGGGCGGCAGCAGUGGGGAAUAUUGGACAAUGGGGGGAACCCUGAUCCAGCCAUGCCGCGUGUGUGAAGAAGGCCCUCGGGUUGUAAAGCACUUUCAGUGAGGAAGAACGCCUGGUGGUUAAUACCCAUCAGGAAAGACAUCACUCACAGAAGAAGCACCGGCUAACUCCGUGCCAGCAGCCGCGGUAAUACGGAGGGUGCGAGCGUUAAUCGGAAUUACUGGGCGUAAAGCGCGCGUAGGUGGCUUGAUAAGCCGGUUGUGAAAGCCCCGGGCUCAACCUGGGAACGGCAUCCGGAACUGUCAAGCUAGAGUGCAGGAGAGGAAGGUAGAAUUCCCGGUGUAGCGGUGCAAUGCGUAGAGAUCGGGAGGAAUACCAGUGGCGAAGGCGGCCUUCUGGACUGACACUGACACUGAGGUGCGAAAGCGUGGGUAGCAAACAGGAUUAGAUACCCGGGUAGUC
rnacentral:rRNA from 1 species